rnacentral:rRNA from 1 species
CAGUCGCCACGGUAAUACGAAGGGGGCUAGCGUUGCUCGGAAUUACUGGGCGUAAAGGGAGCGUAGGCGGGUCGUUUAGUCAGAGGUGAAAUCCCGGGGCUCAACCUCGGAACUGCCUUUGAUACUGGCGACCUUGAGUAUGGGAGAGGUGAGUGGAACUCCGAGUGUAGAGGUGAAAUUCGUAGAUAUUCGGAAGAACACCAGUGGCGAAGGCGACUCACUGGCCCAUUACUGACGCUGAGGCUCGAAAGCGUGGGGAGCAAACAGGAUUAGAUACCCCGGUAGUCCCUGUCUCUUAUAC